CACGCGGGAGGCCCGGGUUCGAUUCCCGGC
rnacentral:piRNA from 5 species